AAGCCAUGUUGGGGACAGUUUCUGAGUAGCUUACGGAAUCUUUCCCAGGCAUCAUGAAUAGUCUCAUCUCCAAGCUGGGUGAAGUGAGAGAUCUUUGCUAUGAUCUU